GGCCCAUUUGUCUAGGGGUUAGGACAUUGGAUUUUGAUGACUCAUCAAUUUCUUCCAAAGGCAUCAGUUCGAAUCUGAUAUGGGCCU
rnacentral:tRNA from 1 species